rnacentral:rRNA from 1 species
UACGUAGGGUCCGAGCGUUGUCCGGAGUUACUGGGCGUAAAGGGCGCGUAGGCGGCCUGCUAAGUCGAACGUGAAAUCCCCGGGCUCAACCCGGGAACUGCGUCCGAUACUGACAGGCUCGAAUCCGGGAGAGGGAUGUGGAAUUCCAGGUGUAGCGGUGAAAUGCGUAGAUAUCUGGAGGAAUACCGGUGGCGAAGGCGGCAUCCUGGACCGACAUUGACGCUGAACGGCGAAAGCUAGGGGAGCAAACGGG